UGCGAUGAUGAUUAUAGAAAUUAAUCUCGUUAAUCUGAUUCGUAACAUGAGGAUGAACUUUCAUCCAUUCUUACGUUUUCUGAGC
rfam:Corchorus olitorius cultivar O-4 contig19222, whole genome shotgun sequence.